rfam:TPA: Bos taurus chromosome 11, whole genome shotgun sequence.
UCCCUGGUGGUCCAGUGGUUAAGACUCUGUACUCUCAACCUGUGCAGGGGGCCCAGGUUCAAUCCCUGGUAGGGGAU